rnacentral:lncRNA from 1 species
GGGUGUUCCAUGUCACUAGUUCGGGCUUGACUGUAAAAAUUAUCUCUAGAUAUUUCUCUCCAGAACUGGUGUCUCUCAAAAUUGGGUAAAUCGGAGUCAAUGUUCAGGAUGCAUCUUGAAGAGAAACCAAGAUGGUCGCUUAGCUCUCUCCAGGAUAACAUAAUUUCCUGUUUGAACAUCCGAAAAACAAUUCCCCCUCAUAGU